UCUCUGCAAUGAUGAAAAAUACAUAUCAAUUACAGUUAUCCCUGUCUGAAGAUUACUGUUGAGA
rnacentral:snoRNA from 1 species